rnacentral:tRNA from 1 species
GGCGCGGUACGCAAACUGGCAAAGCGGCGAAUUUCAAACGUUCGUGAUUUUAAGGGUUCGACUCCCUUCCUCGCUA